AUCUUUGAAUAAUCAUUCCUCCCAUCACUUUCUAUUAAUUGAUUCCAAUAAUCUUUGAGAUGAAGAUUUCAUUCUACACUUUGACCUAAUUGAUUUCUAAUUGAUCGGAUAUGAUCCAUAUUUCGUUCUACUUAAGUGAUUUCAUUGUCACCGUCACCGAUUGAUCCAUUUAAGUGAUUUCACUAUCGCUUCACUAUCAUUGACUUUUACAUGAACAUUCUGCUUGAUUACCUUUUGGCCCCAAGUUAUGAAAACUAUUUAGACUCUAACUUCCAAGUUAAUUAAGAGAUUACUCUCGUUACGUUCCGCUUGCCUGUGAUUGGCUGUGAAUUCACCUCACUAGAGGACAAAUAUGAUGUAGGACCUGGCAUUUCCUUGACUCUUACGACCGGUUUACAAUAAGUGCAAUACGUAAACUGACAUCUCAUUAUCCGCAUCGCAAAUCCAGGAUAAGAGUUUAGCAUAUGGGAACUCCAAGAUCCUGUUAUGGCUGCGUGUCGAUAUCACUCGCAAGCCAUGCGGUGUGCACGCACGACGAGCGCGAUAAAAGUUGUUCCAUUGGCUGCCAAAACGGAAUUUUGAGGAGCUAAUUAUUUAGGAAAUAUUUUAUGUAAUUGUAUGUAUUGUUUGCAAUGUGAUUUCAUGAAAUAUUUGCUUUGUUUCUCAGCUGAUUUGAGAUUUCGUUCCCGUGUUUUUAAGUCACAAUGCGAAGGCGAUCAAAAACUGACAUAAUGCUCGUGGUUCGAUGCAAAUCUCAAACGGUACGCCCUCCGUCCACACCGCGAGGUUUCCGAGUGACGGUGAAUGGGCCUAUACUUUUACGCGACUACGUGACUUAAAAGUUAGUACGUUGCAAGGUUUACGUGAAAGAAUGGGCCCUAUAGGCCCAUUAACCAUCACUCGGAAAUUAACGGAAGAAAGCUUUUAACAAUGCCGUGAGGAGCUUCAUAUCCGACAAAUGCUUAAUAUGAAAUAUACAAAUUUAUUUUAUCCGGAUCGUAUAAACAGUGUUAGUUGAUAUCAGUCGACUUGCCUCAAAAAAUUCAUCGCGAUCCUGAAGAAGUACUUGAAGGAAUAUAAUGAAAGUAAAAAUGGUUCUACUGAAACAAGUCUUCAACUGUUGAAGUUUCGACGUCAUUUGCAAUCGUCUCAGAUAAUUUCAAUUUUAAUAUUUGCAGUAAUAGCAAUGAAAAAGAUAAUGGUAGUAGUAUUAUAAAAGCACUCUACUCAUUUAUGUUAUUAAUGUGGUAAGAAAUAAUAUUAAUAAUUAUAAUUGCCCGAAAUUGACCCGCGAUUUAUUGUAUAAUAUAAUACACUGGUUAUUGGGAGCUUGAAAUAUUCGAUUUUGUGCUGAAUGUUGAACAAGUCGGAAACGGGAAGCUCGGUGCGUCAGUGGAUAUCCGUUGACAUCUCCUAAGGGGUACCAAUUUGACCCAAAAGAAGCAACUUUAACACCCGGCAGUAAUAGCCACAUUUUAUGUAAGAGAUUACCAUUAUCUUGAUGUUGCAGACGCGAAAACACAGAUUUAAUUUGAUAUUCACAGCUAGCAGCCAUAUUGUUGCGAGAAGAUUGGCGGACAUAACUAACUUCACUAAUUUGAUAAGUGCUCGACAGCGAUGGGCAAGAAGUGGUUGAAUAAGAUCAACGCUAGUUUCUUAUCUGUUUGACAUUAGUGGAUUAACAAAAUUCAUGAAACCACUUCUAACUUGCAAAAACAAAUAACUAUAAAAAGACUCUUCUCAUUAUUUAUUUUCUAGAGGUUUCACAAUCUGGGCAAGUUACGGAUUUCAUAUAAUACUGCCACUAAGUGCCAAGCAUUUAGGCUCUGACCAUCCCACCUACUUCAAAGAUAAAGGAGCGCUGGUGGUGGUGGCCGGUGGUAGGUGAAUGGAAGAAUCCGUCGAGAACUCCCCGCAAUCUCGAGCAUGAAUGUGGAAUGGUAUAUUUUUGCAUAGUUCCAGGACAUCAGAGGAAGCCAUGAGGGAUUUUGGUACAAUACAUGUAUUAUGGCAUCUACAACAAACCGCUCGAGACGCCAAAUUUCUUUGAUUUCCAAACAAGUGCCUCAUAGUUCACCGUAUUCUCCACGUACUUCCGUUCAAUGUUGCUGUUUUGGGGUAUAGCAAUAUCAAUAAUGUGCGCAGAACGACCCGUCUCUGAACUAACAGGACAUCGGGUUUGUUUUAACAAUACAUACUGUAAACAGGACGAUUAGGUAGUGCCUGGGGCUCAUAUCAGUAAACCGGACAUGUUCCCGUGAUCAUUCCAUGUUUGUAUGCAAAGCUUUGGUUAAUCACUUUACAUGCAGCAUUGUGUAUUGCACCGCCGCCAUUAUAGUGCAACCUGAAAUAAGAUGGUCCAAAGUCUCCAGUGCCGAACCAUAUAUUCUGCAUUGGUCGUUCGCCACCCGUUUUUCAUAAACUCGGGUGGCGACCACGCCGACCCGAAUAGCACACAUAAAUCCCUUCGUCUCAGCAAAGAGCUCUCCAGCACACAGCCAUCUGUUCGACAAAUAUAAAUUGAUAAAUGGUUGCCAAAGACCAUUGACGUGUUUACCAUGCGUUGCCAUCGAAAUCAUUCAUCGAUCCGUUUUUGGUCUGAGUUCACCCCACUUAGGGAAUGGAAAGAUCGCUCCUUCAAGUAAGUCGGACAAACAAAUGAAAAAUAUCAUUGUAACAAAAAAUUUAAAUGAUAAAGACCAAAAUAUUAUAUUACCACGACAUAAUUUGAUUAAAUACGCAAAUUCUCAAAUAAAUAUAAAUAACCUUACGUAUAAGAACCAAAUAUACUACAUUGAAAAUAACGUCAUACUACCCAAUGCAAUUAGGAAUAUAAGCUGUGGGGAAUAUA
rnacentral:lncRNA from 1 species